rnacentral:rRNA from 1 species
UACGUAGGGCGCAAGCGUUGUCCGGAAUUAUUGGGCGUAAAGAGCUCGUAGGCGGUUUGUCGCGUCUGCUGUGAAAACCUAAGGAUCAACCUUGGGCUUGCAGUGGGUACGGGCAGACUAGAGUGCGGUAGGGGUGACUGGAAUUCCUGGUGUAGCGGUGGAAUGCGCAGAUAUCAGGAGGAACACCGAUGGCGAAGGCAGGUCACUGGGCCGCAACUGACGCUGAGGAGCGAAAGCAUGGGGAGCGAACGGG